AGUUGGCUCUCGCCAACAACAAAGGUCGGCCAAUGAUGGUAGGAGUGGAUGGGGGGAUGUCGUCUGACCCCACUGCCUCGACAUCGAACCCGUUUGUAACGAGUAUGUAUUCAUGUAUUGGCAAUGGACAUAAAUAAUUGUCUUGCUAAUCAAAUGUGAAAUGAUUGAGUGUAAAUUAAUCGUGUCAUUUUUAGUUGAAGGUAUAAACAUUGUUUUGGAGAAGCCGCCGACAAUUAAUCUCCAAUCAGAGGAAACACUGUCGGCCUGUGACUCCAGGGCGACUAUGGAGAGGGAAAUGGCAUUGGAUGAGCCCUCCACCUCCACCUCAACCUCAACCUUCUCAAGGCCUUCUCGAGGGACAGACAAGAUUGGAACAGACACUAUAAGGGCGCUGUACAAGCGCAACUUGGAGCUGGACAACGACAUCAAAGUGUUGGUGAAAAAAAAAUUGAAGAUCGAGAUCCAGCUCCUCGAGAGGGUAGGCUAUUUAUUAGAUUUUCUUUGGUGAAGCUCGACUGACUACUGAAAUAAUGUUAUUUUUCCUACUUUCACAGCAACUGCAUGGCGAUGCGACG